AUUGAACGCUGGCGGAAUGCUUUACACAUGCAAGUCGAACGGCAGCGGGGGAGAAGCUUGCUUUUCCUGCCGGCGAGUGGCGAACGGGUGAGUAAUACAUCGGAACGUGCCCUGUAGUGGGGGAUAACUAGUCGAAAGAUUAGCUAAUACCGCAUACGACCUGAGGGUGAAAGUGGGGGACCGCAAGGCCUCAUGCUAUAGGAGCGGCCGAUGUCUGAUUAGCUAGUUGGUGGGGUAAAGGCCUACCAAGGCGACGAUCAGUAGCUGGUCUGAGAGGACGAUCAGCCACACUGGGACUGAGACACGGCCCAGACUCCUACGGGAGGCAGCAGUGGGGAAUUUUGGACAAUGGGCGAAAGCCUGAUCCAGCAAUGCCGCGUGUGUGAAAAAGGCCUUCGGGUUGUAAAGCACUUUUGUCCGGAAAGAAAUGGCUCUGGUUAAUACCUGGGGUCGAUGACGGUACCGGAAGAAUAAGGACCGGCUAACUACGUGCCAGCCGCCGCAGUAA
rnacentral:rRNA from 1 species